rfam:Haemonchus contortus, ISE/inbred ISE, WGS project CAVP01000000 data, contig: Hcontortus_19968
GGCCCAAAUUUGAAGUACAACAGUUUAGUAAGGUCAGCUGAUACUACUAAUCUACUCUACUUCAAAUUUGGGCUC